GAGCGUAGACGGUGUGGCAAGUCUGAUGUGAAAGGCAUGGGCUCAACCUGUGGACUGCAUUGGAAACUGUCAUACUUGAGUGCCGGAGGGGUAAGCGGAAUUCCUAGUGUAGCGGUGAAAUGCGUAGAUAUUAGGAGGAACACCAGUGGCGAAGGCGGCUGUCUGGUCUGUAACUGACGCUGAGGCUCGAAAGCAUGGGUAGCGAACA
rnacentral:rRNA from 1 species